rnacentral:rRNA from 1 species
CCAGUUCGGAUUGUAGUCUGCAACCCGACUACAUGAAGCUGGAAUCGCUAGUAAUCGCGGAUCAGAACGCCGCGGUGAAUACGUUCCCGGGUCUUGUACACACCGCCCGUCACACCAUGGGAGCCGGGAAUGCCCGAAGUCGGCAGCCCAACCGGAAGGGGGGAGCCGCCGAAGGCAGGCCCGGUGACUGGGGUGAAGUCGUAACAAGGUAAC